GAUGAACGCUGGCGGCGUGCCUAAUACAUGCAAGUCGAACGCUGGAAAUCUAGCUUGCUCGAUUGAAGGAGUGGCGAACGGGUGAGUAAUACAUAAGCAACCUACCCACGAAGACUGGGAUAAUCUCUGGAAACGGGGACUAAUACCGGAUAGGUAAUCGGAAGGCAUCUUCUGAUUAUUAAAGGUUAAAAACACUGGUGGAUGGGCUUAUGGCGCAUUAGUUAGUUGGUGAGGUAACGGCCCACCAAGACGAUGAUGCGUAGCCGGCCUGAGAGGGUGAACGGCCACAUUGGGACUGAGACACGGCCCAGACUCCUACGGGAGGCAGCAGUAGGGAAUUUUCGGCAAUGGGGGAAACCCUGACCGAGCAACGCCGCGUGAGUGAUGACGGCCUUCGGGUUGUAAAGCUCUGUUGUAAGGGAAGAACGGUAGAUAGAGAAUAUCUAAAUGACGGUACCUUACCAGAAAGCCACGGCUAACUACGUG
rnacentral:rRNA from 1 species